AUGAACGCUGGCGGCGUGCCUAAUACAUGCAGGUCGAGCGAACAGACGAGGAGCUUGCUCCUCUGACGUUAGCGGCGGACGGGUGAGUAACACGUGGAUAACCUACCUAUAAGACUGGGAUAACUUCGGGAAACCGGAGCUAAUACCGGAUAAUAUAUUGAACCGCAUGGUUCAAUAGUGAAAGACGGUUUUGCUGUCACUUAUAGAUGGAUCCGCGCCGCAUUAGCUAGUUGGUAAGGUAACGGCUUACCAAGGCGACGAUGCGUAGCCGACCUGAGAGGGUGAUCGGCCACACUGGAACUGAGACACGGUCCAGACUCCUACGGGAGGCAGCAGUAGGGAAUCUUCCGCAAUGGGCGAAAGCCUGACGGAGCAACGCCGCGUGAGUGAUGAAGGUCUUCGGAUCGUAAAACUCUGUUAUUAGGGAAGAACAAAUGUGUAAGUAACUAUGCGCGUCUUGACGGUACCUAAUCAGAAAGCCACGGCUAACUACGUG
rnacentral:rRNA from 1 species